GAUGAACGCUGGCGGCGUGCCUAAUACAUGCAAGUAGAACGCUGAAGGAAGGAGCUUGCUCUUUCCGGAUGAGUUGCGAACGGGUGAGUAACGCGUAGGUAACCUGCCUGGUAGCGGGGGAUAACUAUUGGAAACGAUAGCUAAUACCGCAUAACAGUAGAUGUUGCAUGAUAUCUACUUAAAAGGUGCAAUUGCACCACUACCAGAUGGACCUGCGUUGUAUUAGCUAGUUGGUGAGGUAACGGCUCACCAAGGCGACGAUACAUAGCCGACCUGAGAGGGGGAGCGGCCACACUGGGAGUGUGACACGGCCCAGACGCCUACGGGAGGGAGCAGUAGGGAAUCUUCGGCAAUGGACGGAAGUCUGACCGAGCAACGCCGAGGGAGUGAAGAAGGUUUUCGGAUCGGAAAGCUCUGUUGUAAGAGAAGAACGAGUGUGAGAGUGGAAAGUUCACACUGUGACGGUAUCUGACCAGAAAGGGACGGCUAACUACGUG
rnacentral:rRNA from 1 species